rnacentral:lncRNA from 1 species
UGUGUUUCUUUGUAGAAUAGACUGAUGUACUGUGUGCUUGAUUUUUACAAGAUGAGCACAAUACCUUAUCUUUCUUCUUUAUUAAAAAAAAGGAAAAAUCCAAACACAAGAUUAAUAUCUCGUCAUGGACUGUGCCCCGCUCGAGCCUCUCCACAGGCAGCCGGAAGGAAAGUGGAGGGAGCUGCUCCUUUCCGUAGCCGGGGUGCCCACCCCAACCAGGCUGCCUCUGCCACCCAAGACAGAGGUUCUCUGAUAAUAAUUUGUGGGGCUUGUUUCCAGAGACCACACCUGAAGCUGCCAACUCCCCGGAGGGAAGGUCCUGAUUAAUGGCCGAUGAAUUUCUCCUUAAGGCCCUGAAACUGCCUACUCAGAACCAAGCCAGUUUUUCCUGCCUGUCCUGUUUGGGCAGGCAGAGGAGGCAGCUAGAAACCCAUUAUGCAGGGGAUGGGGACCAAACCAAUGCACAACUCCUACGUACUGAUGGUGGUCUUACGUUUCCCUAAGUUUCUGCCGACUAAACUGUGCACACGUUCUCAGGACCUCCUGAAGCUGCGUCACAGGCGCUGAUCAAAGAACACAACCAAGGUGAGUGUCAAUCAUUUCAAGAAAUCUAUUUGCAAGGUUAAGGACACACCUGAGAAAAGAACAGAGAACCACAGGAAAAACUGUGGUCCGUGCUUUUCCCAAAGAUUGUCUGGGGGCCUCAGUAAGUAAAGGGGAAAAGUGCGGGUAUUGGGGAAAGGGGAAGAAGUGGAAAAAAUGGGUGUGGGUAAAUCAGAGGCAAAUGGUUGCAUUCUUCUGUCUUUGGUCAGUGUUCACUGAAUACACAUUUUACAUGCGAGGGAGGUAGAGGCAGGGAUGUAGCUUUUUUAUCUUUGUGUAAUAGCUAUCUUAUUUAGGAACCAGAUGGGAAGCAGGUUUGCAUAAGCCAGUUCCCAGCUUGGCUUUUCCCUUUGGCUUAGUGAGUCUGGGGUCCCAGGAUUUAUUUUCCGUUCUCACAGGUUGUGGUCCUCACAUUUGGCUCAAAAUAUUCAAAAUUUUUUCCAGAGUUUGGCCUUUUCUUCAGCACUGGGAAUUGUGAUCCAAAGCUUUUCCUGAUGAGGCACAAAGUUGGAGAAACAAAACGCAAACUAAGCAACAAUGAAACAGAACAGAGUGAAUCUGCUGUAGCUCAAGAGAGGACGUAGCUGCCCCCACCCCGCAUCCCCGGGCUCGGGUUUGCCUUGCUGACCUCUGCUGCCACCUGGUGCCGCACAGAGAAACUGAGGAGAAACCACAUCAGUCUCCUUCAGCCUCAGCUUCACAUCUGUGGGUCAAGCAACCCUUUCAGAAGCUGAAUAAUGUGGGAAAGCUUUCCUCUCAGGAAAAUGCACACAUCCAACUUUGAGA